rnacentral:rRNA from 1 species
CCUACGGGUGGCAGCAGUGAGGAAUAUUGGUCAAUGGACGCAAGUCUGAACCAGCCAUGCCGCGUGCAGGAAGACGGCUCUAUGAGUUGUAAACUGCUUUUGUACGAGGGUAAAUCCCGAUAAGUGUAUCGGGUUGCAAGUACCGUACGAAUAAGGAUCGGCUAACUCCGUUCCAGCCGCCGCGGUAAUACGGAGGAUUCAAGCGUUAUCCGGAUUGAUUGGGUUUAAAGGGUGCGUAGGCGGUUCGAUAAGUUAGAGGUGAAAUCCCGGGGCUCAACUCCGGAACUGCAUCUGAUACUGUCAGGCUAGAGUGUAGUAGAGGUAGGCGGAAUGUAUGGUGUAGCGGUGAAAUGCAUAGAGAUCAGACAGAACACCGAUGGCGAAGGCAGCUUACCAAACGACGACUGACGUUGAGGCACGAAAGCGUGGGGAGCAAACAGGAUUAGAUACCCCUGUAGUC